CCCACGGAUCUCGCCCUUCCCCCCGGCCGCAUGAUUUCUCGCGAGAGUUAAGCGCGCCUGACCGGACGGGAGGAAAGUAUCCGCUCUGCCGAGGGGGGAAAGAAGGAGCUGGAGAUAGAUUGUAGGACAGAGUGCGGGCAGGCGGGAGGCAACGGAGCUACCAGCCGCUCCGCUCUGCUAUAUGAAAUAUGGGAGACGACAGACCGUUUGUGUGCAAUGCCCCGGGCUGUGGACAGAGAUUUACAAACGAGGACCACCUGGCAGUUCAUAAACACAAGCAUGAGAUGACAUUGAAAUUUGGCCCAGCUCGAACUGAUUCAGUCAUCAUUGCAGAUCAAACUCCUACUCCAACUAGAUUCCUGAAGAACUGUGAGGAAGUGGGACUCUUCAAUGAACUAGCUAGCUCCUUUGAACAUGAAUUCAAGAAAGCUGCAGAUGAGGAUGAGAAAAAGGCAAGAAGCAGGACUGUUGGCAAAAAACUGGUGGCUGCUGCUGGGCCCCUUGACAUGUCUCUACCUUCCACACCAGACAUCAAAAUCAAAGAAGAAGAGCCAGUGGAGGUAGACUCAUCCCCACCUGAUAGCCCUGCUUCUAGCCCCUGUUCCCCAUCACUGAAGGAGAAGGAGGUUGCCCCAAAGCCUGUUGUGAUCUCUACCCCCACGCCCACCAUUGUACGUCCUGGCUCCCUGCCUCUCCACUUGGGCUAUGAUCCACUUCAUCCAACCCUUCCCUCCCCAACCUCUGUCAUCACACAGGCUCCACCCUCCAACAGGCAAAUGGGGUCUCCCACUGGCUCCCUCCCUCUUGUCAUGCAUCUUGCUAAUGGACAGACCAUGCCUGUGCUGCCAGGGCCUCCAGUACAGAUGCCGUCUGUUAUAUCGCUGGCCAGACCUGUGUCCAUGGUGCCCAACAUUCCUGGUAUCCCUGGCCCACCAGUUAACAGCAGUGGCUCCAUUUCUCCCUCUGGCCACCCUCUACCAUCAGAAGCCAAGAUGAGACUAAAAGCCACCCUAACUCACCAAGUCUCUUCAAUCAAUGGUGGUUGUGGAAUGGUGGUGGGAACUGCCAGCACCAUGGUGACAGCCCGCCCAGACCAGAGCCAGAUCCUCAUCCAACACCCUGAUGCCCCAUCCCCUGCCCAGCCACAGGUCUCACCAGCCCAGCCCACCCCUAGUACUGGGGGGCGACGGCGGCGCACAGUAGAUGAAGAUCCAGACGAGCGACGGCAGCGCUUUCUGGAGCGCAACCGGGCUGCAGCCUCCCGCUGCCGCCAAAAGCGAAAGCUGUGGGUGUCCUCCCUCGAGAAGAAGGCCGAAGAACUCACUUCUCAGAACAUUCAGCUGAGUAAUGAAGUUACAUUACUACGCAACGAGGUGGCUCAGUUGAAACAGCUACUGUUAGCUCAUAAAGACUGCCCGGUCACUGCACUACAGAAAAAGACUCAAGGCUAUUUAGAAAGCCCCAAGGAAAGCUCAGAGCCAACGGGUUCUCCAGCCCCCGUGAUUCAGCACAGCUCAGCAACAGCCCCUAGCAAUGGCCUCAGUGUUCGCUCUGCAGCUGAAGCUGUGGCCACCUCGGUCCUUACUCAGAUGGCCAGCCAAAGGACAGAACUGAGUAUGCCGAUACAAUCGCAUGUGAUCAUGACCCCACAGUCCCAGUCUGCGGGCAGAUGAUGCCUCCUCCGGUGAAGAGGUUCCCAGCCAGAGCUCGCCACCCAAGAGCCAAGAGAAAUGUCAUCUUACCCCCUCCCAUCUGCCUUGGACAUGGCAAUACGGGGUAGGGGGGAAUUGUGUGUUGUGAGUAAUGGACAGAUAUGGGGCUUUUUAGGCUUUUUAGCCACAUGGUCAUGUAUGUUUGACACCUGUACUGGGGGCCUCCCAGCCCCAGAGCCUCAUAGAUCAUCCCCAAGGGUGGGGUUUCUGAUGCACCCACAGCCAAAGGCCUUUCCAGAUGGUCCGAACAAUCACCCCUGCCCCAUGCACGUGUAUCUGUCUCUUUUAACACUAACCCUUGGCACUUCUAGGUUUGGGGUUUCUCAGCUCCCUCUCUUCCCACUAAGCCGUGGCUGUUACCUUUCUGUUCCUUACCAGCUUGCCACUUCCUGCCAGAUAGAGGGAGGCUAGAUUUGAUGGGAUAUCACCCACUGACCCAGCCCCAGCCACCCAGUGGACUCAGGACCGUCUCCCACUGCUGCUUCUUUACCCAUUUCCUUUUUCCCUUCCUUAAUUCUAGUUAAAACAUUUACUUACAGAGAAUGUGAGGUUACCUUUGUUGUAUAAAGCAGCAGUAUUUUCCAGUUCUUCCAUAAGCUUUAUUCCUUCUCCCUGCCUACCACCAAAAAAAAAAAAAAAAAAAAAGAGGUAAAAAGAAAGAAACCCUCAAGAGUUCUAAUUCUUGGCCGGGCGCGGUGGCUCACGCCUAUAAUCCCAGCACUUCGGGAGGCCGAGGCGGGUGGAUCACGAGGUCAAGAGAUCGAGACCAUCCUGGUCAACAUGGUGAAACCCCAUCUCUACUAAAAAUACAAAAAUUAGCUGGGCAUGGUGGUGCGCGCCUGUAGUCUCAGCUACUCGGGAGGCUGGGGCAGGAGAAUUGCCUGAACCCAGGAGGCGGAGGUUGCGGUGAGCCAAGAUCGCGCCAUUGCACUCCAGCCUGGGUAACAAGAGCGAGACUCCGUCUCAAAAAAAAAAAAAGAGUUCUAAUUCUUUUUCAUCUAUUUCCAGAGCUAUUUGGGUACCUCACUUUGUCACUUGAGUUUAUCUAGUGUAGUGGUGGGGUCUUUCCCACCACCCCACUAGGCCUCAGCAACCUCAUUUUGUGGCCUUAUUCAAGAUUGCUUGGUAGUGAAAAGGGAAGGGCCCAGGAUCUGACUGGCCGAUUCUAUCUCCUCCCCUCCCUCUCCCUUCAGUUUUAAUCAUCAGGGCAGACAGGAACAAAGCAGUUCAAGGCUUGUUCCAUCAGGUUAGGGAUUAACUGAUUCCUUUAUAAGAGAUUACUGGCCAAAGCAUACAUAUUGUCAUCUUUGGUCAUCUUCCUGCUCCUGCCUCUGCUUCUCUUCUGUAACUACUUCAGAUACAGCCCUCCUGGAGGCUGUCAUGUAGGGGACUUGUACCCCAUGUCUCCCCCUCAGACGUCUGUCUUCUUUUCUGAGCUAGAAUCUUCUGUUCACAAGUGCCCCUCACCAUCUGGACUACCUUCUUAUUCUUUCACCAGGUUCCUAGCUUAGACACUAGGUCUUCCAGGUCCUCUAGAGUUUCUUCAACCCAUUUCUGCUCUCUUCUCCCUACAUGCAAUGCUCCAGGAUCUUGAAGCAUCAUAGCCAGAGUCCUGAGUGGAUUUACUUGAGUAUUAGAUUGAAAGGAGGGACGAAGGGAAGAGGGGAAGUACAGAACUAUUCCCAGCAAAGGACCCCAGAGUCUGGCCUGGGAAAUUGGUGACUAUUGCUUUCAGCCAUUCUUACUUUGAAGAGUUGGGUUGCAGGGGGAGCAGUCCAUCCCUCUUGUCCCUCUUCCUUCCACAUGAAAGCUUCUUAUCUCCCCUUGGCUCUGAACUAUGCAGUUUCCACCAGGACCAUAGGAAGCAAUUCAGAGCCAGAGGCCUGUGGAUAGAUAGGUCAGCUUUAAUAGCCUUUCCAUGUGAAACCCUUCCAGUUGUCCCAGAGCCACCUUCUGCCAUCUGUGCAAGCCAAGAAUGUCCUCCUCUCCAUCUUUUCUGCCUCCAUCUAAACGUACGCACACAAUAACUGCUAGCUUCAGCUUCCUUUCUUGUUUUGUCUCCAAAAUUGACUGUCACAGGGGAAUGAGAAAACGUAAGCUACAAGAUUCCCAUUUCCUUAAAGUGAUAGCCUAUCCUAGUGAACCAGUCAGGUAACAUGUUCUGCUGCAUUUGUUUUAAAUUUCCCCUCCUGCUUUUCAGGGCUGGUGUGAACAGGCCACACCCCUAAAGACAAAAGAGGGAAAACAUGGGUUUCUCAUCCUCUACCACCAGGUGCCUAACUGGAAUAGCCCCUGAAGUGACUCAGACUAGCAAAUGUUAUGACAGAUGGUCAGGAUGCAGGUUACCACCUCCAGGGACUUCACUUUUGCCUUUAAAAAUUCACAGCCAUAACUUGUGCUCAGGACUUCUCCUUUGGAUGGCUGCUCCCUGGGAUUUUUCUCCUGCUUUAUUGUCUUGAUUUCCCAGUAGCAGCCUUGCCCUACAGCUUGACUGAAUUUAUGGCUCCUAAGGAGCUUUCCUAAGACUCUUGACUAUUUUUCUUCCCCCUUCAGUCAAGUUUUUAAAGUUAAGAAUCAGUUUGUCACUGCAUACGUGCCCUACCAGUCUGUCCCUGUGUUGAGUGGCUAAUUUAUGUGAGGGUCUUUUUUAGUUCUUAGCCCCCAUGACUAAUUAUCUAGUCCUAACUUCAUUUUUAUCAGUGGGAAGUUUGUAUAUGGGACCUAAACGGAGCAGUGUCAGAACCACAGUAUCGAAACAGUAACGAAAUGGAACUAAAAUAAGGAAGCAGCAGGUCAGAGCCCCAAGAUAGCUCUUGAGUUUGUUCUCAGUCUCACUAAGGAGGCAGAAAAAUUGCUUACCCUGAAGCUUCCAUGAUAGUCAGAGGUGAAGUCACUUACCUUGUUAUUUCUACAGCCAUGUGAUCACUCCCCCAAUCUUUGUCUUCCAGACUCAUCUGGACCAGAACCAAACAUCAUGGAAGGUGUCACUUGGCCCUUCCUAAGGUCCAUGGCCUUUCUAGAGGCCCAAGAAAGGACACGUUCAGAAAGGAGCUGAGUGUAUGGUGGGUGUCCUGAAUUCAGUGAAUACAGGACUCAGGCUUCCCACCCCACUCCAGUGUGAGUGCUAGAUAUGUAAGCACCCUAGCUAGCUGCAACAGACCCAAGGCCACAGAGGAAGAGGCCAGAACCAGGUCCUCUGGUCUGCUCACUCUCUGCCCCAUUCCCCUAACAGAAAGCUUGCUUAGAGUUGAAAAGUCUAAGAAAGCCUCCCACACUACUAGAGAGGCCAAAAAUAAGUCAUACCCCACCUUUACUUACUCUUUUGCUGCAGGUUAUACACCCCAAAUCUGACUUCCUAAGCGUUCACCUCUCUCCUUGCCCUAAGCUUAGACCAUGUACUUCAAGUAGUGGUGAAGAGGGACUGGGCUAACUGAACCUCCUCUCAUUCACUCCUCUCUCCCUGUUCUGUUCCUUUUCUGUUAUUUUACAUAUGACCUCUGUCACAUGCUCUGCUCCUUUCUUGAUUCACUGCUUUCUGGCACCACCCAUCCUGGUAGAUGGAGCCUUGACCCCAACUGUGCACUAUGUACAGCCUGAACCACCAAACAGACACCAAAAAAUUAUUCCUGAGGUUUCUGGGGCUCCCCUCUCCACGCUGAGAGGCUCCUAAAGGUGGUAGACCCUGAGACAGCUGUCCCCGCCAGUUUUCUCCUUUUUUCAUUAGCUCCUUCCCAUCCCCAAAUCAUUAAUUUUCCAUUAGCGCUGUACAUUGUAUACACAGGAAAGAAAUGUUAUCUCUUUUUUUAAUUUCAUAACCAGUCUCUGUAGCUUCCAGUCCUCCUCACUGUAUCUCAUAUGCCUUGUUGAUACGCCCUUUCUGCUUUCUUUACACUUACAUUUGAUGGGGGUGGGGGCGUCUGGAAGAACAGGAAAGGUGAGUAUUCCAAAGCAGAUUAAAGGACCCUCCACCCCAUUACAGCCUCCCACACCUCUAGUCGUCCCUCUCAUAGUACAGGACCGAUUUCUCUGUGUCUGUUUGUACCCACAAAUGUGCAUAUAGACAUAAAUUCCCCCAGCGCACACCAAGGUGGUGGAAUUCCCAGUAGGAAUGAGCAUAGGUGGCUGCUGGCCACCGUUACCACCCUCGGCACCAAUUGAGUUCUCUCUCUUUGGGGUGAAGUCCUACCCCAGAAUGAGGAAAGGCUGGGGAGAGUAUGGCAGGUUACAGCAGUGUAUGUCCUUUGUAGAUUCAGGUUUGUAUCAUAGCUACUAGGGCUUAUUUUUUUAAUGGGGGACUAAUAGCAUAGAGAUAACUCAUCAGCAGUAGCUACUGGUGAGUAAUUUUUUAUCUGUAAGAAGUGGCUAUGAGCAGUAGUUUCACUGACUUGACCUUAAAGCAGUGGUCCCAGAAUAUGGUCCAGGACCAGCAGCAUCAGUACCACAAUCAUCGGGAAACUUACUAAAAAUAUACAUUCUCAUGCCCCAUCUCAAACCUAUUGAAUCACACACUCCGGGAGCAGGAUUUAAAAGCACUCCAAGUGAUUCUAAUGCACACUAAGGGUUAAGAACCAUUUCAAUUUUUUUUUUUUUUUAAUGAGGUUUCACCAUGUUGGUCAGGCUGGUCUUGAACUCCCGACCUCAGGUGAUCCACCCGUCUUGGCCUCCAAAGUGCUUGGAUUACAGGCAUGAGCCACCAUGCCUGGCCAAAAACCUUUUCUUAGGUUAUCCCUAAGAAAACCUGGGAAAUUCUUACAGGUGUGGAGGAUAUUUCAAAUACAUCUUUUGCCUUUGCACUAACAUUCUUCCAUUUCUUUCAGUCUCUUCCUCCAUUCCCAUUAAAACAAUCACCAUUAUAUCAGUGAUCUCAAAAUCCUGAUCUGUCUUCUUUCUAGCCGUAUCCUUAAAGCCAUGCAUUGGUCUGGACAGGAGUUAUCCCAUGUUUCCUUACAGAUUGGUCACUCUGUGCUCUCUCUUACAGUAAGGACCAGCCAGAGCUUCAGCUGUCCCAUUCCUCCCCCACAGCACACACACUUGUCAGGCAGGGAGGAGAUGAACCCCGAGCCCCAAGAGUGGAGGCUGCCGCAUCCUAACAUAGUACUAUUGAAAAGGAAGCAGUGUGUAUCUAUGAUUAUAUCUCUGUUCAGCUAUAUAUUUUUGACAUGUGGCAACACCUCUCCAUCUUAUCAAGGAAACUCAACUCGGUCUGGGUCUCCCCAGUGCCCAGUGGUGGCCUUUGACAGGUAGGAGGAUGCAGUGCUACAGGCUAUUUUAUUUUUUGUUACAAAACUGUCUUUUCCCUUUUCCCCUCCACCUGAUUCAGCAUGAUCCCUGUGAGCUGGUUCUCACAAUCUCCCGGGAUGGGGCUGAGGCAGGGGCUUCGCUCUAUUCUCCCUAACUGUACCAUCUUCCUUUCCCCCUUGCCACUUAGCAGUUAUCCCCCCAGCCAUGCCUUCUCCCUCCCUCCCUUGCCCUGGCAUAUAUCGUGCCUUAUUUAUGCUGCAAAUAUAACAUUAAACUAUCAAGUGAACCACUGUUAUGUCUGAUGCUUCACUACUCUAUCUACAGGUCCCACUGUCCACUCUUCGGGGAGGUCACUGGGCUUUCAGUCUGUCAACUUCCUUACUCCCCCAUUUCUUAGGACAGAAGGAACAGGGAUUGUUGUCCCUAGUUUUUUUAUACAGGAGAGACACAGCCUAGAGUAGGUGGAUGAUUUCUAUCACUUACGAAAUAUGACAGAAGGCCCAGGGCAGAGCUCCUGUGGACUGCCUUGGAGACAAGGGCCCUUGGCUUCCUGGCAGCAAGCACUCACCAGGAAACUUAGUAUGUGCUUUAUGUGGAUGGCAGGUGGGAGAGCUGCUGAUGGCAAAUUGCCUUUUACUUUUCAGUGUUUUGUUGACAACCCCCACCCAACCAUUAAAAAAAAAAAAAAAAAGCCCUAAGCUGGACGCACUGGCUCAUUCCUGUAAUCCCAGCACUUGGGAGGCUGAGGCGGGCAGAUCAUGAGGUCAGGAGAUCAAGACCAUCCUGGUUAACAUGGUGAAACCCCGUCUCUACUAAAAAUACAAAAAUUAGCUGAAUGUUGGCACACACCUGUAGUCCCAGCUAUUCGGGAGGCUGAGGCAGAAGAACCACUUUAACCUGGGAGGCGGAGAUUGUAGUGAGCGGAGAUCAUGCCAUUGCACUCCAGCCUGGGCAACAAGAGUGAAACUCUGUCUCAAAAAAAAAAAAGAAGAAGCAAGUCAAGAGUUCACAAGAAAAAUAGGUAAUGCUCAGAGCCUGUGGGAAUCAGGAAGAGGUGUAGGGAAAUCACAGAUCAUUUCUUGCAUCUGUUUAUUCCUUUAUAAUUAACAUCACAAAUGAGAACAGUGAGCCAGGCUGAAGAAUUUGACAAAAGAUAGCAGGAGUCUCUGGAGUUUCCCAGUAGAAGAGAAAUGAUUUAAGAAGCUAUAUAUGGUUGGUGUUUGGGAGACAUGUGACACAAAUAGCCUGUGCCUCCUGAGGAGAGUGGGAAAAGCAGUGGUGGUCUUCACUGUGUUGUGGCCAGGAGCACAUGGGGGUCCAGAGAAGGGUAAGAAUGACAAUUGCUGAAAGCCAAAUACCAAAGCCCACAUUAUGAGGUUUUGGAGGUGGGAAUGAACUCUAAAGACUGGGCAGUUUACCGAGUUAGAGGGACCCAUCUAUUCCAACUUGAGAGGAGACCAGUCACCUCCAUCCUGGACACAGGAAGCCAGCUAGACCAGCCUCUUUCUGAAUGCAGCUCAGCUCAAAGCCACUUGUAAUUGAUGUUUAGAGAAAUACUAGAAGCAGCAGGUUGGUAAACAUCGCGUGGCUGCCCCAUGCUACAUGGGAUGGUAGAGUGCUUUACUCUUCAUCUCAGGAUAACAGUAAUAGUCACUUCAUUUUAUUGAUGAUGAAUUUUUAGCCAAGUCACACGGUGAAGUGCAAGAGCUAGGGUUACAACUGAGUUCUGUCUGGCCCAGAGCCAGCUCUGCAAUAUCCCAUCCAUCCUCACACAGACAGGAGCAGACAAGGAUCAUGAUGGGAUGCAGCAGCUACUGCCCACAGAAGAGCCAUGAUGCUCCCUUUCAAGAAGUGGUAAACUGGCCGGGCAAGGUGGCUCACGCCUGUAAUCCCAGCACUUUGGGAGGCGGAGGUGGAGGCGGAGGUGGAGGUGGAGGUGGAGGCAGGCAGAUCACCUGAGGUCGAGGCGGGUGGAUCACGAGGUCAAGAGAUCGAGACCAUCCUGGUCAACAUGGUGAAACCCCGUCUCUACUAAAAAUACAAAAAAUUAGCUGGGCAUGGUGGCGUGUGCCUGUAAUCCCAGCUACUCAGGAGGCUGAGGCAGGAGAAUUGCCUGAACCCAGGAGGCAGAGGUUGCAGUGAGCCGAGAUCGCACCAUUGCACUCCAGCCUGGGUAACGAGCGAAACUCCGUCUUAAAAAAAAAUAGGUGGUAAACUACAAGAUGUCAUGAUGAUGAAUGUCAGGUUCUAUGCUUGUGACCAACCAUGAGACAAAGCUUACAAAAAGAUUCACCCUAGCUCCGUCUACAUUAAUAGAAAUAUGGUAUUUGGAGCAUCCAGAUAGAUACAAACCUGCUCUAAUCUACAUAUCUAAAGAGUAAGUUGAUUCCUAGAUCCCUUGCCUUAAAGAGUGGGGUGCUUCCCCUUGAGCAAAAAAGACUUCAGAGCGGGCCGAGCACGGUGGCUCACACCUGUAAUCCCAGCAGUUUGGGAGGCCAAGGUGGUUAGAUUGUUUGAUGUCAGGAGUUCAAGGCCAGUGCCAAAAAAAAAAGACUGGAGUGGAAGAAUGAACUGUCUUCAAAAAUAUGAAGAGCUUUACACAUGAAAGAGAUGAGAGAUGUUCUGUGAGAUUUAAUGAAGCAAACUAAGAACCCCUAGUAGAAGUCAUAGGAAGCCCAAAGCCCCCUUGGCACAAAGAUAAAUAUGUCUGAAGACUGCCUCAGGAGAUGGUAAGUUCCCUAGCUGGGGCGUGUGAGGCGAUCACAGCUCAUGUUUGAGGAUACCUGUUCUAUGCCAGCUGUUUUGCUGAAUGGAUUACAAAAAGGAUGUUAAAUAAUGCAUACUCUAGGAAGAAGCUCCUUGUAAAAUGGGCCCAUGUUUUAGGUAAGGAAACUGAAGCUCAGAGCAAGGGACAGCUUGCCAAAGCAGAGUCCAAGGCCUUUACGUCAUGGCUCUUCCUCAGCACAGGCUAGAGACCCACACCGGUGGGGAUGCUCAGAAAAAGACUGUAGGACUAGAAGGAACCUGCACCAUAGGCUUGAAGGCCUUUUCCUGAGGAUUAGUGAUUCUGAUUUUUCCUAAGACAGGAUUCUAGGCUACCCUAAUAUGUCAGAGCCAGAGCCAGGCAGAGGCUGUGGUGACCAAAGAGAGAGGAGGCAGAAUGAUAGUCCAGCUCCACAGUAGCCUGCUCCUGUCCCUCAGGGACUCCCUGAAGUCUAGACCCUAGCACCUCCAUUCAGCCUCACCCUCCUAGCUUCCUCUGCAGAGCUCUAGAUUCUAGGAAAAGGAAAUGGCCGGAGCUGGCAGUGAGGAGCUGUGACCACAGGGUGGCAGCAGUGCUUCAGCUGUGGAGGGCGACUUCAUAGGAAGGGCUAUGAGGCGGGUCGGAAGCAGUAGUAAGCUCUAGUGAAGAUGGUGGUCUGUCUGCAGAUUUAAAGCCAUGCCCAUUCAGUGGGCUCCAAAACCCUUUAGCCUUCUUCUAUAUCUUAAUAUUCUGAGAUGGAGUUUCACUCUUUUUGCCCUGGUUGAAGUGCAGUGGUGCGAUCUCGGGUGAGCCACUGCACCUGGCCAAAAUAAAAAUUUUUUUUAAUCAAAAAAAAAAAAAAAAGAUACAGCCCAGGCACGGUGGCUCACGCCUGUAAUCCCAGCUACUUGGGAAGCUGAGGCAGGAGAAUCACUUGAACCAGAGAAGCAAAGGUUGCAGUGAGCCAAGAUCGUGCCACUGCACUCCAGUCUGGGCAAAAAGAGUGAAACUCCAUCUCAGAAAGAAAAAAAAAAAUUAAAUCUUCUGCACUAUCAUGAAGCUGAAUAUAUCUUCUAUCCACAGGCAAAUCUGAGUAGCCCUCAAGAGGCACACAAGCAGAGGAUGGGCUGUGUGGGCCUGUCAGCCCCCAGACGGGGAGGACCAGGCUUGGUCAUCCUGGACUCUGAACCUGGUGGCUCUUCCCACUCCUCUUCUACUCCAGGAUAUCCUACUUAACCCCUCCUGACAUGAGUUUCGUUUUUGGGGGACAAAGGGGAUGGAGUCUCUUGUCACCCAGGCUGGAGCACAGUGGUGCAAUCUCAGCCCACUGCAACCUCCAUCUCCCUCCCAGAUUCAAGCGAUUCUCCUGCCUCAGCCUCUCAAGUAGCUGGAACAACCGGCAUGUGCCACUACACCCGGCUAAUUUUUUAUUUUUAGUAGAGAUGGAGCCUCACCAUGUUGGCCAGGCUGGUCUCAAACUCCAGCCCUCAGGUGAUCCGCCUGCCUCAGCCAAUCAAAGUGCUGAGAUUACAGGCGUGAGCCACAGUGCCCGGCUGACAUGAGUUUCUUGUGCUUUACCCGUUAGGAAAGAGGGGAAGUGAUAAACUGAAGCUCUCCAACCUGUUGAGGGAUUGGGGGUUCUUGUAAGGCCCCCCAGGGCCUGGCUCUGACAAAGCCUCUGCAACUAAUGAUGCUUCUUGAGCGCUGGAGACAGAAUUUAUGCAUCUAAUAAAGUCUAUCACUCCAGGCUUAGGGGCCGGGGGCAGGAUGAUGAGAGCAGGAAGUCCUGGGGGCACCAUGGGAAGGGAUCCCAGGCGGCUCCUAAUGAGCCCUGCACUUCCAUUUGCCUGUUCUAGAUUCCCCCUAAGGCUGCUGUGAGGCUGGGGGUGGGGUAACAGCAGGUAUAAGAGGCUGGGGUGGCUGUAGGAGGGUGGAUGGCAGCAUGGAUUCUGGGCAGGCUGCUGCGCUGCUGGUGCUGCUGCUGCUCAUAGAUCCCGCCUGUGCUGAGGGGCCAGGAGGCCGGCAGGAAGACCAGCUCUCCCAGGUAAGUGAGCAGCCCAUCCCCUUAUCACCCAUACCUUGUCGCCUCUACCUUGGUUGAGACUUGUGCUCUAGGUUCUGAUACUUUCUCUGGUUGCCAAGGUUGUCGUUAGGUCCUCACAUCUGAGGAAAUGGUUCUGCACCUACCACUUGCCCCUGGAAGCCAGUCCCUUCCCCUUGUGACUUAUGUGUCCAGGGUAUUUGCCCAACUUCCUUGCCUGAUAGCCCCUGGUACAGGAGAAAGACAGUGGACCCCGCCUACCACAGGAUGCCCAGAGCCCUGGGUCACUCUUGCGAUCCCUGCUCCAGGCAAUGGAGAGACCUGGCCGGAGCCAAGCCUUCCUGUUUCAGCCCCAGAGAAACACCCAGGGAUCCUGGAGCAAUGAACGGCUGAGUCCUCGGGCUGGAGAGGGGCUGCAUUCCCAGUUCUGGAGCCUGGCUGUCCCUCAACGCUUUGGGAAGAAGUGAUAUCAUCCCUUGAUGUGUUUGCAUGCAAUGUCCACACCCAAAAGUGCCAACGUGUGCCCCCAAAUAAAGGUGUCUGAUUUCUGAA